rnacentral:rRNA from 1 species
GUGGGGAAUAUUCCGCAAUGGACGAAAGUCUGACGGAGCAACGCCGCGUGAGUGAUGAAGGUUUUCGGACUGUAAAGCUCUGUUGUUUGGGACGAAAGUGCCUGUUGCGAACAGUUACGGGUAUUGACGGUACUAAACGAGGAAGCCACGGCUAACUACGUGCCAGCAGCCGCGGUAAUACGUAGGUGGCAAGCGUUGUCCGGAAUUAUUGGGCGUAAAGAGCAGGUAGGUGGGAAUCUAAGUCUGUUGUUAAAAUGCGGGGCUCAACCCCGUAUUGCGAUGGAAACUGGGUUUCUUGAGUGCAGGGGAGGAAAGGGGAAUUCCCAGUGUAGCGGUGAAAUGCGUAGAUAUUGGGAGGAACACCAGUGGCGAAGGCGCCUUUCUGGACUGUGUCUGACGCUGAGAUGCGAAAGCCAGGGUAGCGAACGGGAUUAGAUACCCUUGUAGUCC